rnacentral:rRNA from 1 species
GACGAACGCUGGCGGCGUGCUUAACACAUGCAAGUCGAACGGGAAGGCCCUGCUUUGGGGGGGUGCUGUAGGUGCGAACUGGUGAGUAACACGUGAGUAACCUGCCCUUGACUUUGGGAUAACUUCAUGAAACUGGGUGUAAUACCGGAUAAGAGCUCCUGCUGCAGGGUGGGGGUGGGAAAGUUUCGGCGGUUGGGGAUGGACUCGCGGCUUAUCAGCUUGUUGGUUGGGUAGUGUCUUACCAAGGCUUUGACCGGUAGCAGGCCUGGGCGGGUGACCGGACACACCGGAAUUGGGCUGAGGCACAGCCUACUACGGGAGGCAGCAGUGGGGAAUAGUGUACAAUGGGAGGAACCAUGACGUAGCAACGCAGUGCGGCGGAUGACGGCCUGCGCGUUGUAUUCCGCUUCCGUCUGUCACGAAGCGUGAGUGACGGUAAUGGGUAAAGAAGCACCGGCUAACUCCGUG